rfam:Haemonchus contortus, ISE/inbred ISE, WGS project CAVP01000000 data, contig: Hcontortus_25902
GGCCCUAAUCUGAAGUAGAAUCGAUUAGUAGGAUCGGCUGGCCCUACUUAACUACUCUACUUCAAGUUUGUGCCC